GUCUAUGGCCAUGCCACCCUAAACAAGCCUGAUGUCUGAUCUCGACACUAAGCAGGAUUGGGCCUGGUUAGUACUUGGAUGGGAGACCACCUAGGAAGACCAGGUGCUGUAGGUG
rnacentral:rRNA from 1 species